rnacentral:rRNA from 1 species
UACGUAGGGGGCAAGCGUUGUCCGGAAUCAUUGGGCGUAAAGGGCGCGUAGGCGGAUCAUUAAGUCUGGUGUGAAAUAUAGGGGCUCAACCCCUAGACUGCAUCGGAAACUGGUGAUCUUGAGGACAGGAGAGGAAAGUGGAAUUCCACGUGUAGCGGUGAAAUGCGUAGAGAUGUGGAGGAACACCAGUGGCGAAGGCGAACUUUCUGGACUGUAACUGACGCUGAGGCGGACGAAAGCGGA